AUUCCGGUUGAUCCUGCCGGAGGCCAUUGCUAUCGGAGUCCGAUUUAGCCAUGCUAGUCGAGCGAGGUCAGCCCUCGCGGCGAACAGCUCAGUAACACGUGGCCAAGCUACCCUGCAGAGGGGGACAGCGUCGGGAAACUGACGGGAAUCCCCCAUACCGGUCUCACGCUGGAAUGCCGAGACCGACAAACGCUCCGGCGCUGCAGGAUGCGGCUGCGGCCGAUUAGGUAGUCGGUGGGGUAACGGCCCACCGAGCCGAUUAUUGGUACGGGGUGUGAGAGCACGAGCCCGGAGACGGAAUCUGAGACAAGAUUCCGGGCCCUACGGGGCGCAGCAGGCGCGAAACCUUUACACUGCACGAACGUGCGAUAAGGGGACUCCGAGUGCGAGGGCAUACAGUCCUCGCUAUUGUGUACCGUAGGGUGGUACACGACCAAGAGCUGGGCAAGACCGGUGCCAGCCGCCGCGGUAAUACCGGCAGCUCGAGUGAUGGCCGAUUUUAUUGGGCCUAAAGCGUCCGUAGCU
rnacentral:rRNA from 1 species